rnacentral:rRNA from 1 species
GACGAACGCUGGCGGCGUGCCUAAUACAUGCAAGUCGAGCGGACCGGAUUGGGGCUUGCCUUGAUUCGGUCAGCGGCGGACGGGUGAGUAACACGUGGGCAGCCUGCCCGCAAGACCGGGAUAACUCCGGGAAACCGGAGCUAAUACCGGAUAACACCGAAGACCGCAUGGUCUUCGGUUGAAAGGCGGCCUUUGGGCUGUCACUUGCGGAUGGGCCCGCGGCGCAUUAGCUAGUUGGUGAGGUAACGGCUCACCAAGGCGACGAUGCGUAGCCGGCCUGAGAGGGUGACCGGCCACACUGGGACGGAGACACGGCCCAGACUCCUACGGGAGGCAGCAGUAGGGAAUCUUCCGCAAUGGGCGAAAGCCUGACGGAGCGACGCCGCGUGAGCGAAGAAGGCCGUCGGGUCGUAAAGCUCUGUUGUGAGGGACGAAGGAGCGUCGUUCGAAGAGGGCGGCGCGGUGACGGUACCUCACGAGAAAGCCCCGGCUAACUACGUG